rnacentral:rRNA from 1 species
CAGUCAUGCCGGCGGGAAUCAACUUAGGGGAAACUCUGAGUGCACUUCCUCGCUUGGCAGGUUAGCGUCGAUUUUGGAUGUCAUAAAAUGACUGGGGGAAGGUAGCUCUUUCGGGAGUGUUAAGCCCUUAGUAGAUGUGAUGUCCGGGAUCGAGGAUUGCAACGGAUACCUUUUGGGCUAACCGCCUAGUUUCUAAUAUGAAGUUGGGUUAUGGACAGCACGCUGACUGUGAUCUGAUUUUCGAUUAAAAGAUUAGAGCGAGUGUAAAUUCGUUAAGGAUGUUGACGUA